ensembl:lncRNA
UUUGUGAUGUUAAAUUGCGAAGAUCUUGAGGUUUCGUUUAAGGGCGUGUCUGUGGCGGCCUUACAAAUUUCGAUGUUUCGCCAUGAGAAAGGAAGUUGCUAUAACUCAGACAUACAAUGUCCAAUCUGCCCCAAACUUCACAUGUUUGAGAAGACUCCUGACCUGAAUAUAUCUACAUGCCAAUAUUCAGAUAUCGCUAUAGCGCCACCUGCUGGCAACAGGAAGUGACAUGUUUUACGCCGUAACAAACUACUCCUAGAAAUUUUAUGACAUUUUAUAAUUUUUUUUGGUCAGUCUAAUCUAAAGGCCUUUGCGAUGUUAAAUUGUGAACAUCUUGAGGUUUCAUUAAAGGGUGUGACCAUGGCGCCGUGACAAAGUUUGAUGUCUCGCCAUGGGAAUAGAAGUUGUUGUAACUCAGGCAUAAGAUGUCCGAUCUUCCCCAAACUUCACAUGUUCGAAAAGAGUCUUGGCCUGAACACAUCUGAAGGUCAUUAUUCC